rnacentral:rRNA from 1 species
AUUGAACGCUGGCGGCAUGCUUUACACAUGCAAGUCGAACGGCAGCGCGGGCUUCGGCCUGGCGGCGAGUGGCGAACGGGUGAGUAAUACAUCGGAACGUGCCCAGUAGUGGGGGAUAGCUCGGCGAAAGCCGGAUUAAUACCGCAUACGACCUGAGGGUGAAAGCGGGGGAUCUUCGGACCUCGCGCUAUUGGAGCGGCCGAUGGCAGAUUAGCUAGUUGGUGGGGUAAAGGCCUACCAAGGCGACGAUCUGUAGCUGGUCUGAGAGGACGGCCAGCCACACUGGGACUGAGGCACGGCCCAGACUCCUACGGGAGGCAGCAGUGGGGAAUUUUGGACAAUGGGCGAAAGCCUGAUCCAGCAAUGCCGCGUGUGUGAUGAAGGCCUUCGGGUUGUAAAGCACUUUUGGCGGGAAAGAAAAGGACUGUGCCAAUACCACGGUUCGAUGACGGCACCCGCAGAAUAAGCACCGGCUAACUACGUG